GGGGGCGAUUCUGGAUUCGACAGGAUUCACGAAACCCUGGGAGCAUGCCGAGGGGCGGUUGGCCUCGUUAAAAGCCGCAAAGUUAUAGUUGCAAACGACGAUAACUACGCUCUAGCCGCUUAAUGCCGCUAGCCAUCUACCACACGCUUCGCACAUGGGCAGUGGAUUUGAUGGUCAUCUCACAUCGUGCUAGCGAGGGAACCCUGUCCGGGGUGAACCGCGAAACAGUACCGGACUCACCGUGUGGGAUCCUGUCUUUCGGAGUUCAAACGGUUAAACAAUAGAAAGACUAAGCAUGUAGCGCCUUGGAUGUAGGUUUUCUGGACGCGGGUUCAAGUCCCGCCGCCUCCACCA
rnacentral:tmRNA from 1 species